GACGAACCGUGCGAACGUUAUUCGGAAUCACUGGGCUUAAAGCGCGUGUAGGCGGAUGGGAACGUCGGUAGUUGAAAGCCCCCGGCUCAACCGGGGAAGUGGUGCCGAAACGACCCGUCUGGAGGGACGUAGGGGGACCUGGAACUUCCGGUGGAGCGGUGAAAUGCGUAGAGAUCGGAAAGAACACCAACGGCGAAAGCACUCUGCUGGGCCGACACUGACACUGAGAGACGAAAGCUAGGGGAGCGAAUGGG
rnacentral:rRNA from 1 species